rfam:Acanthamoeba castellanii str. Neff unplaced genomic scaffold scf7180000084749, whole genome shotgun sequence.
GGACGGAUGGCCGAGUUGGUCUAAGGCGCUACGUUCAGGUCGUAGUCUGGGUCUCCAGGCGUGGGUUCGAAUCCCACUUCGUCCA